rnacentral:lncRNA from 1 species
AUCCCAAAUCCCUUAGAGCUCCCUAGCUGAGCACUGUUGCAGCAGCGCCGCGCCCCAAACGCAAGUUCGCGGUUGCGGAGGCCGUAGGUGGACAGCAGCUACGUCCAGACUCGCCUUUGCUCUAAGGAGCCCAAGGGGAGAUCCAGGGGGAGGCAACACUUAGGGAUGCCCUCCCGCCAGGAACGCCGGAGUCGCAAUUUCGAAAGUGACCCGCCUCGCUUCCGAGGGACUUGCCUGUGAGCGCCGCAGGGGUGUGCAUUUCUGGAAGUCUGAGAAUCCCAGCGAACGCUGGCCCGGCAAGAGUUUUUAAGUCAGGUCCCGGGGCGUCUGUUUGUUUAUUGACGCUUAGGGGAAAAGUCUGAGGAUGUUUAACCAACCUCAGACCUGGCGCAAGCGAAAAUCUCAGACUCUCUUGGGCAAAAGUCCUCUAAUUUCUAGUCGUUAUAUAAGUAGGGGCUCUUUCUUACCCUGCCUACCCUAAGCGCUCUCGUUCCUAUUCCAGGAGUUAAAUGUGUCUCGCUUAAAAAAAAAAAAAUUUUUUUUUUUUUAAGUUGUCAUUAUUUCCUUGAGUCCAAAGGCGGGAGAACGCGCAGGCCGCGCCCCGGGGCGCGCGGCGGCCCCACCCUUGCGCUGCGGGAGGGACGCGGGGUCCCGGGUGCCGCUGGCUUGCGCUGGAGCAGCCGCGCCCCGCAGUCCCUCCGUCCGCCACUCCACGUGGUCGGGAUCAACAGUUUGCUGAGCUCAUCAAUGACACCUUGAACUUUUAAUAAAGAAAAUGGGUAUUGCGCCGGGAGGGUUCGGCCGCAGCCGCCUCGCCGGGUCCUGCUUAAUAUUCAAUGAUCUCGCUCGCGCCUCCCCCUCCUCCCCUAGCAGAAAUUCCACCGAGUCCGUUACUGGGCUCACACUUUUAACUUAAUUUACGGGGCCCCCACCCCAACCUUGGCUAGUAACCAGCGCCUUGAGGGCUAGCUUCCCCCCCUCCCACCCCUCUAGCUCCCGCCUGAAAAUUGACAUUUCGCCGGCGUCUCCGGAGGGAGCUGAAUUUCACUUUGUAACUUUCUGCGGAACCCGAGCCCGGGUGGCAGCUCGGGUGGUGGUAUCGUAUGCAAAUACGCAUGCUGACGUUACAGAUCAUGUGGGUUUUGGCGUAGAUUCCCCACUGAUCGAGACAUUUUCCCCCCCUUUUUUUUCCCUUUUUUUUCCCCCCCUUUUAAAAAAUUUUGGCCACUGUUCUCCGUACGGGGGCUUCUGGCUGGCUGGCUGGCUGGCAGGCUGGCUUGGCCCCCUCUUUCCCACGGAGCCCGAGCCGGGCGCCCGGUGGGGAGUGGGGAGUGGGUGGGGGGGGAGCCAGCAGAGUUCCAUUUUGGAACGCCCCUGUGCCGCGUCUCCGCGUUCCCAGCCCGGGUCCCCGCGCUCCCAGCCCCCGGCGCAGGUCUUGACGCCCUGACUGCUCUGGAGUCGAAGUAAAAAGAUUCCCAGGAUGUAAGCAACACGGGAACUGGUGAGUGACCGUGUGUUUGGCGAAGGUCGGGGCCUCCACUGGAUUUCAGGAAGGGAAGGGGGAUGGAAGGGAGGCG